CGUUCUUCAUCGACGCACGAGCCGAGUGAUCCACCGCUAAGAGUCGUACGAGUUUUUGUGAUCGCCGGGAGGGCCAACCCCGAAAAGGGGCGCCCCCCCAACCUGGCACAGCACAUCCCCGAAGGGUGCCUCCGGCCGGCCAGCAAGAGACAACAAAGACCAGACUCCAAGAGGUCGGAAGGGUUGGAACGACAGGGCAAGUCCGGCAGCCCGCCCCAGCCACGCGGACGCGCGGGGCGAGCUCGGAACAAACCCCACAGGCGCCCAGGGGGUUCCCGCCUGUCUUCUCCCCCCAUCCAGGGCCGCCGGGGCCGACCGGCCCCGGCCCCGCCCUCACCUCCGAGCACACCUUCCCCGUGGCACCGACCAACCCUCACCGUCCCCUCCCCCGCACCCGCGGCCCAGGCCCCCCCCCCGCGGGAGGGGGGCUGCGGCGGGAAGCGGGGCACGAGCGGGCAAGGGCGUGGGGGUGGCGGUUCGGGGAGGAGGCGGGGAAGGAGACGGAAAGCCGGACCCGGACCGGACCCGGGGCCUGAAGGGAGGGCGGAAGGAAGGGGGGUAAAAGGUCUGCGGGGUAGGGCAAAAAAGAGAGGCGCGCAAGGCAGGAAGACGGGCCCGGGGGGGAGGCGGCGGACGGCGGGGCGCCCCGCGUGAGCCGAGGCUCCAAGGCCCCCCGGGACAGGCGAGAACCCGACCGGGGAGACGCCACGGGGACCCACCGCCAAGCCGCGCAUCCCGAGACGCGACGCGGCCAGGGCGCCAGCGCGGGGGGGGGGGGGGGCACGGCGGAGGAAGGGGACGGACGAUCCCCCCCGUCUGCACACAACACCGCCGCCGGGCCGGACGGUGGCGGCGGACACGGAGAGGAGGCCGCAGCGGGCCUGGGAAGCGCCCACACACCAGAGCGCCGGCGAAGAGCGACGGGGAACAGGACCGCGGGCCAACGGCAAGGGAGCCCCACGGGUUUCCAACCAGGCGCCUCGAGGGGGCGGACCCUGGGGCAAACCCUCGCAGAGGGCCCUCCGGCCCUGCCACCCGCAGCCGCCGCACGACCGGCCCCUGGAACGCUCUCCCGCACACGCGGCGACCCACCACCCGCGCCCCGCCCCGGCCGAACCCCCGACGCGCGCAGCCGGCGCCCCUUUCUCUCUUCUUCCCCCCAUUCCUUCGCUUCACGCGGGGCGGGGGGCGGGCGGCGGGGCGGGCGGGGCGGGCGGGGCGGGGCGGGCGGCGGGCGGGGCGGGCGGCGGGCGGGGCGGGCGGCGGGCGGGGCGGGGCGGGCGGGCGGCGGGCGGGGCGGGGCGGGCGGGGCGGGGCGGGCGGCGGGCGGGGCGGGGCGGGCGGGGCGGGGCGGGCGGGCGGCGGGCGGGCGGCGGGCGGGGCGGGGCGGGCGGCGGGCGGGCGGCGGGCGGGGCGGGGCGGGGCGGGGCGGGCGGGGCGGGGCGGGCGGGCGGCGGGCGGGGCGGGGCGGGGCGGGGCGGGGCGGGGCGGGGC
rnacentral:lncRNA from 1 species